AAUCAACGCUGGCGGCGUGCCUCAGACAUGCAAGUCGAACGAUUAAAGCUCUCUUCGGAGAGUGCAUAGAGUGGCGCACGGGUGAGUAACACGUAAGUAAUCUACCCUCGAGUGGGGAAUAACGUCCGGAAACGGACGCUAAUACCGCAUAAUGCAGCGGCACCGCAAGGUGACAGUUGUUAAAGGAGAAAUUCGCUUGAGGAGGAGCUUGCGGCAGAUUAGCUUGUUGGUAAGGUAACGGCUUACCAAGGCUACGAUCUGUAACCGGUCUUAGAGGACGGUCGGUCACACUGACACUGAAUAACGGGUCAGACUCCUACGGGAGGCAGCAGUCGGGAAUUUUGGGCAAUGGGCGAAAGCCUGACCCAGCAACACCGCGUGAAGGAUGAAGUAUUUCGGUAUGUAAACUUCGAAAGAAUAGGAAGAAUAAAUGACGGUACUAUUUAUAAGGUCCGGCUAACUACGUGCCAG
rnacentral:rRNA from 1 species